UGUUUCUUAAACGAGGUACAGGAACAUUUAAAUUUGCAUAAAUAUUCGCGGUCGAUUCGCAACAAACAGUCUAAUUACAAAUGUUUGCGUCCUUGUAUAUGCAGCGAUCUUUUUCAUUCCUCUUCGUCGCUGAAAACGACACGAGAAACGAUUUUCGCAUUAUCGACAGCCAUAUAACGCGACUCUAUCGGAAUACAACGACCUCCAACCUUUUACCCGAGUUCGCUCUGGUCGAAUCAAUUUCUCUCGUAGGGUUAUUCACCUGGCGAGGUAAAUUGCCUCGUAAAAUCAAACGUUUCGAGCUAUGUGGUCCAGAUUGUCUGCCACAUCUCUCUGAUAGUCGUAGCCUGGAGAAAGUCAAUUUCUGUACAACUGUGCGUACGUACUAUGCCGCUUGAAAAAGCCGUGUCGAGUACUCCGUUUCGUGGGGUUGCGUACGUUUCACAGGUGAAUGAGGGCUGGAUGAAUAACGCAGACAUUGAAUAACGACCGUACUUUCUGCGCAGGCCCUACGCAAUACUCGUAGCAACGUCAAUCGUUGAGAGAAACGGCCCUGAUUUUAACUGCGUGUCUCGCAUCUCUGGACGAGAUAUCUCGCGACGCUACGACCAGACAUCUCGCGUCUGUUUUUCAAUAUUUCUGGCCGAAUAUGAUUUCUUACAAUUCGGUGGAUUUUUAUGCAUUCAUGGUAAAUUUAACAAACAGCAAGAGUACAGAAAAUGUACAUAAUAAUAGAGAAAUGUAUAAGAUAUCCACAGUGCAGUGGAUAUUUGCUAUGACAUUUAGCAGGGAAAAUAAAUUUCUGUUUAGGUAUUUUUAAUUUUGUUCGAAAAAAUAUGCAUUUGCUUAGAUAUCCGCGCUCUACUUACUAGAGAAAAAAUGAGAAGAAAUUUGCUCUUGAAAGGGUAACGUUUCCUCUGUUCGGUGUCACUAGAACUACUAUAUCCAUCAAAAUAUAUACUUUGAUUAUAUAUAGAUUUAUGUAUUAUUAUUAAUGGUUACACAGUGGCUAAAUGAUCAUACGUUUUUUAAUUUUGUGGUUAUUCAAACAGCAAGUGUUUCGACGAAUAUUAAAGUUAGCUUUUAUUAAAAUACAGUAGAAUUUUAUUUCUGUAUGCAUCUAUCAGGAAAUAGGCAGAUUCGUGUAACAAAAGUCAACUUAAUCAACUUGCAAUUAGUCCGCAAUAGUUCAAUUAAUAUUAAUAGGAGUGUCGUCCAUAUGAGUAGAUUGCACCAAACAUAUGAUCAUAAAUACGUGAUAUUGUUUCAAACUGGAGAAUUUUGAAACAGAUUUUUGGAUCACGAUAAUUGCUAAUUAAUUAGAUUCGAUUCAUUAAAGAAGGAUUCACGUGUGACAAUUUUUAUAAAUAUUUUCUAGACUGCAUACUUAAUAAAUGUAAUUCUAGUUAUAUAAAUGUGACGUUAAUAAAUGUAAUAUAAUCAGUAAAUAGCUUAAAAAAAAUUCAUAAAAUCUACUUGAUGUUGUUGUUACACAAGAAUCCUCUUAAAUAUAUAUUUUGUAACAAUAUAUAGUAUAGAACAAUGAAUUUGAACAAUUGACACAACGUUCAUAUUAAUAUGAAAUUAAUUGAAUGUUUUGUAGAGAAUAGCACGGGUAAAGUAAAGUAUAAGAAGUACAUAUUAUCGUUUAAAUAACUAUGAGUGACGCUGAUCAUUUAUUUCACUAUACAGCUUUAAUUAUGAUCAUCAAUGUACUUGUACAAUAGUAGACAUAUUUGGUAUUUUCUUUUGAACAUUUUGUGUACAUUUGUCUACUAAAUUAUUAGAUAGUACUAUUUAUUUUAUUAUUAUAAUUACCAGAUAUUAUCUAUUAACUUUUUCUCCUCUAAUUUCUCCACUCGUAGCCAAAAUAUCUCGAGUACUAAUUUCUGUUUUUACUGUAAUCUGCAUAUGUGCAAAUUAUCGUACGAUAAUAAUCAGCGCAGGCUGUGAUGAUUCAAAUUGACAGGAACGUGUACGCUAAGUAACGCAUCGCUAUGAUAUUAUUUAGCUCGUAUCGCUAAAUCUGUGUGAUAAUCGUAGAAAGUAAUUUUUAUCCUAAACUUGUGAACGAAGUAUCUCGUAUUAUUGCAACAAAAAAAAAAAAAAACCGUGGAAAACGUUUCGUUUAUAGCAGAAACGACAUCGAGUAAGAAAAUAUAUCUCGUGCGUAAAUGCGAAAAGUUUAAUCAUGCUGUUUCGAAAUACUCGUCGAUUGGAAAUAUACAUGUUGUCAUCUGGCUGAUCGUCGCUAAGAUGAUUCACAUGUUUCUUCCUCGUCGCUCUUCAGUCGUCUUUUCUAACUGAUGACAGCAAAGCGAAAAACUCUGUAUUGCAACGAAAUACAAAUUGUGACAUGGAAAUAGAAUAAUAUACAUGUGCAAUGAAAUUUAAAGAAACGCUGAAAUAUUUUAAGUUACGUUCGAAAGCAUUCGCAAAAGUAUGUGAAAUGAGGACCGUUGGGAUAUCAAAAGAGAAUAAUACGCUGACAUCUGUUUAACCUUACGUGGCAACAGAUUUAAUAGGUUCGAGUAUUCCCGAAGAGCGCUAGGAAGCUGAGGAUUAAAUUUUCAAACGAAGACCUACGUAUUUUCAUCGCACAUUCUUGCAGCUAACGUCGCAGAACGUCUUCCAUUUCCCAUUACCUAAGCAUAGAUACGCGCGUUUUUCGCAGAAGCUGUUCCAACGUAUGAAUUUUCAACGAUGAUAUCAUAGAGCAUUGAUAAAAAAUCUAUUUGCAUUGAUACGUUGAACGCGUUUGGAAAGUCGGGGCUCGUGGUGCACAGGAGGUCAGUGAAUUGUAUAACAUAAACGUUAGAUCUAAUCCUUUGCACUCCUAUGUCGAGUCCCACUGGACAUUUUUUCAGUCCCACGUUUCUUUGUGCAACGUGCGAAAGAGAAGCAGGUUUGCAUCCUGGAAAUUGUUUCAAGAUAUAUCAUACACUUAAAAAUUACAAAAUACAACAAUAGUAUGAACAAAACUGGUAUUUAAGUUCAUUUAUUUAAAUUGUCUUGUUUUUUAGUUGAAGUAAAAUUCAAAUAAAACACUUAAAAACGUUGGGAGCUGCUCUGGGGUAACGAAAUUGAAAUAAAAUUCCGAAAUAAAAUUAAGAAACGUUUGAAUUUGAAAGGAUUCUUGAAAUAUUGCUUUUUUCCAAGGAAUCAGGUAAAAUGUUGGGACGUAAUUUACAGUGAGAGAGAAAUCUCACGUGUACCCUACGUAUCAGAGAUAUAUCUUUAUCGCAUCGGAUAAAUUAACUAGCAGUAACAAUGUAAUUAAGAAGUAAAUCUCUUAAUAAAUCUCGCUCAAUUUCUCUACCAAAGAUUAAGAGCUGUAGCAAAAAGAUGGUAAAUUUAGAUAUAAAGCUACAAACUGUACGACGUUGCUAAUGGCCUUGGAUAUCGAGGCAACGUUAAAGCGAACAGAAAAAGCGAAUAAAGUAAUGAGAAUGAAACGCUGUUAUAAUUAUGGGAAAGUGGAAAUUUUAGAGGAAGAUCGGAUAUUUGCAAUUGUUUGCUAUAAAUAUAAACGCUAAGAUGCAACCUGCAACUUUGUCGAGUCUUGUUUAAGUUUGUCUACGUAAGUAGAAGCUGUAUUAUAAAAAGUCGUAGUUUUGAUAUUAAUCGUAGCAGUAUAUUAAUAUUAUAAUACCAAAUACCAAGUAAUUUGACUGUAUUUCAUAUAAUUUUAUAAUCGUACGCAAGGAGCAAUUCGUAUUUGUUAUAUGUUCACAUAUUUAGAAAUGUUUCUGACGAUGUAACUGAAAUUGUACUUUGUCCAUAGAUGGGAGAUAUGUUUUACCUGAAACGUCACAUUCGAACAAUAAUUACAAUUUAUUAUGUGUAUUAUUAUUAUAUAUACGAAUAAUUAUAUGUCAUAUGAUGAUAUUAAUUUAAGAACGUAUUACAUAUAUUUUCUAUAUAUUUUUGCCAUAUCAAAUUCUACCGUGGCUGCAGUAGAUGCAACGGUUUUCAAACAUAUUUCAUUUGCAUGAUCGCGAUCUUCGACGACUAGUAUCAUUUCAGACUGUACAAAUGCUACCUAUGAUGGUGUAAUUUACAUGCAGAUAAAUUCAAGUAAAUCACAGCGGAAACAAGUUGCAUAUCAAGAACGAACGACGUCUACAGCGUCGAGCACUUUGAACUUCUUGUUUUUCCACGUCAGUGGCGUAGUCUUUCUGUUGGUGUACUCGAACGAAACUUUUCUUAUUCCUACGAUUUUACGUAAUGUUUUGUACAAAAUAAAUAUAUCGUUUGAUAUUUUCUUUCGCAAGGAUGACGCUAUGUACUUAGCAUGGUAUUUAUAUCACGUGAUAGCGAUUAUAUCAAUACUUUCUCCGCUAAAAUUAAAUCUGUAAUCAAACGUGUCGCUAUAUCAUUAAAUCUACCUAUCAUUACAUUGAUCUAUAAACAGUUGGCAUAGAAUUAUUUUUGAAGUCUGCAGUUUGAAAAUUAUACGCUUGGUGCUAAUUUGACAGGUAAAUUAAGCCUAUCGGUAUAAUCGAGUUUGUCUACUGUUAGAUCAACCGUCUAUGAUUAGAUCUAUUAUUAUAGCAUAAUUAACGUAUUGGCGUAUUGCCGUGUUUAGGACAGCUGCGUUUUCCCAAUUACAUUUAGCAGAAUGAUGCGGGCUGUUCAAUUAUCUCGAGUUACUUUUCCAAUAACAAAAUUGAACUCUCAGGAGUUUCUUGUGUUACUUUAUCGAUACUACGGUAAAUUUAAAAGUGCAGUGCUCCUUGCAUGCCUUGCAAUCUUUAUAUUAUACAGGGUGGUUGGUAACUAGUGGUACAAGCGGAAAGGGGGUAAUUCUACGCGAUAAAAGAAGUCGAAAAUAUAGAAUAAAAAUUUUUCGUUUGAGGCUUUGUUUUCGAGAAAAUCGACUUUGAAUUUUGGCUCGGUACGCGUGCACUUUAUUACGUCUCGUUAUAACGGAUCUCACUGUAGAUCGUUGUCUCGAUGGAAAAAUUAAAAAAAAAUUAAAAAAAAAUUUUUAUUCUAUAUUUUCGACUUCUUUCUUCGCGUAGAAUCACCCCCUUUCCGCUUGUACCACUAGUUACCAACCAACCUGUAUAUAGUAUACACAAUAAAUAAUUAUAAACUCAACGCUAUUUUGCUAUUCGUCAUAAUAUUAAAACAGAAACUGACGAAACCGCUUAUGUAAUUUUACAUUACAAUAUAAUGCGAAACUAAAGAUGCAACAAACCGAAGCUUUCUUCUUUCGAAGCUUGCAAACAAUGAAAUUUUCUUCGAAAAUUGUGUUUUCGCUUGUGAAAAUAUAAACUCAACGACGUUGAUUUUGUUACGUUCUCAUUCGAUAUUUAAUGGAUUUUUCUUUAUCUUUGAUUACUUUUAUUAAUCCAAUUAUCAGGUACAUUAUCCACCAACUUAUUUAAACUCUCGUUUCGAAUAUCCAGCCACGCGGAUUUUAUUCCUUUUUUAAGUUCAACCGUAUUUUCUACAAAUGGCUUCUCCUGGUCGUAAAGCUUUCUCGCUGGAAUUUCCCAUAGGUUCUCGAUCGAGUUCAGGUCAGCACUCAGUGCUGGUCAUCGUGAUAAUUCUAUCGCGAAAUUUUGGAACCACUUUCCUGUAACAAAAAUUCUCUUUUGUCUUCUAUUUCGGUUACGAAAGGCAAUAGCUCGCCAUGUAACAUCUCCUGAUAUCCCACAGCGAUCAAUCUACCUUUGCAAAAACAAUUUCACUUGCCAUAUCCAGACACUAUCACUGGUUUCUUGGAAAUAAGAACAAAAGUUUGAACAAAUGAAGAAGAAAAGAAAAAGAAAAAGAAUUUCGGUUACGAAAGGCAAUAGCUCACCAUGUAACAUCUCCUGAUAUCCCACAGCGAUCAAUCUACCUUUGCAAAAACAAUUUCACUUGCCAUAUCCAGACACUAUCACUGGUUUCUUGGAAAUAAGAACAAAAGUUUGAACAAAUGAAGAAGAAAAGAAAAAGAAUUUCGGUUACGAAAGGCAAUAGCUCACCAUGUAACAUCUCCUGAUAUCCCACAGCGAUCAAUCUACCUUUCCAAAAACAAUUUCACUUGCCAUAUCCAGACACUACCACUGGUUUCUUGAAAAUAAGAACAAAGAUUUGAACAAAUAAAGAAGAAAAUGUGUCUGAGUGUACAAGCAUUCACAUCACUGUGAAUGUAAAAAUAUAGUAUUAUAAACAUUGCAUUAUAAAAAAAAUAUGUUCCAAACGUAUUAAUAUAUCUCUCACAAGAAUGAUCAGUGCUUUCUCGCAGAUGUCGAAGAAAUAAUACCGAAAGUGUAUUUGAGUCCGUAAUUGUUCGCAGCACUGUACGAUAUCUUCGUAUCAUAAACGAUACCGUUAAAUGUAUGCAAGCUUGUCUCUUCGCUGCACCAGAAGCGUCAGAAAUAAAGUUUCUGCACGAAGCUGUUCCGCAGCAUUCCUUGCCUGUCCUUCGAUUCAUUUAAUGGAUGUCUGUGAAGCGAAUUGUACGAAACGGUGGGCAGCGUGUUAGAAACAUGGUGAAACAGAAAGAAGCUUCACAGGAUGGGAGAUUUUGUCACAUUGGCAGACUGUAAUAAGGAAACGGCGAUGGUUUCUCAGUUGGUAGAUAAAGCGUGCCGCAUUCGCAAUUUUUCGCGGAAAUCCGUUUCUACGCCGAUGGCUUUUACCUUUCCUUUUAUCAGCCGAGAGACGGCACGUAACAGUAUUCGCAUAUAAAUACCCGCAUGCGCUGUGCCAGUGGUCGGUCCGUGUGAAACCUGUCGAUAGAUACUCGCGUCCACGAGCUUUCCGCUUUCAUGAUGAAUCGCGUGGUUUUCGCGGAACGCGCGUUCGCCGGUGAACGAACCUUCCUGUAUCGACGAAUUUCCCCGAAUUUCCCUGGAACUGAGCACCGGUCUAACGGUUCUCGCGGAUUCUGCUGUCGAAUCACACGUACAGAGAACCGUACAAUGUCGUCUACAAGUUAGUGGACGUUCGCUUACUUCGAACGAAACGAUUCUUACGACACGUACAGUAUCGCGUACAAGUCGAGGAAAAGCGGCGUAUUUGCAGUACUGUCGGUAAUUCGGAAAACCGACAUUUCCCAGAAACUACACAACAACGUAGUCUAAUUUGUAACAGCGCAAACGAUAGUCGACCACUGACGUUUGUGAACGAAGCCUAACUUCGACUCGAUCCGCAGAGUAAAAGAGCGUGAAUUUGCAACAACAGUUGAUCUACUCGUUCGCAUAUUAAUUUUAUGCUUUCGAGUUGAUUUUGCGAACGUUUCGCGAGUACAGAAUGUCACAUGGAAUUUUCGCUUUUACAUGGCACGUUACUGACUCGCAAUUCCCAAGCAAAACCUACCAAGCUGGAUGCUGCGCGCCUCUUCCGCAGUGCAAACUACGGCGAAGGCAAAAAAGGAGACGAGUGGGUGCCAGCGUCUCACGUGUGAAACGUGGGUACAUCGUGAAUGUGUUGGUUAUUUUCGCGGAUGUUACACCUGUGACCAACGCAACUUCUACAGCGAAGGUAGAUUGGAAUACCGCUAUUCCGAAUUACUUGCACCGUAACAAAAUCGUUGCUUUACGUCAUCCUUCGAUCCAGCCAAAGUUCCAG